AAGUCGUAACAAGGUUUCCGUAGGUGAACCUGCGGAAGGAUCAUUAACGAGGUUACUGAGGGGACUCUGAUGCUGGCUCUUUUUGGGGGCACUCGUGCUCGAGUCCCUUCGCUCAUCCCACACCACUGUGCACUACUUCGAGUUAUGCGGUCUCGCUCGCCGGGAUUGCCUAAUUUGGAAACACUACAAACUUUUUAUACCAAGUCAGAAUGUAAUGAAGUUAAUAAUACAAUACAACUUUCAACAACGGAUCUCUUGGCUCUC
rnacentral:misc_RNA from 1 species